AUUGAACGCUGGCGGCAGGCCUAACACAUGCAAGUCGAGCGCGAAAGGUUUUCGGACUGAGUAAAGCGGCGGACGGGUGAGUAAUGCUUGGGAAUCUACCUAGUAGUGGGGGACAACAGUUGGAAACGACUGCUAAUACCGCAUACGACCUACGGGUGAAAGAGGGGGAUCUUCGGACCUCUUGCUAUUAGAUGAGCCCAAGUCGGAUUAGCUAGUUGGUAGGGUAAAGGCCUACCAAGGCGACGAUCCGUAGCUGGUUUGAGAGGAUGAUCAGCCACACUGGGACUGAGACACGGCCCAGACUCCUACGGGAGGCAGCAGUGGGGAAUUUUGGACAAUGGGCGCAAGCCUGAUCCAGCCAUGCCGCGUGAGUGAAGAAGGCCUCGGUUGUAAGACUCUUUCGGUCCGGGACGAAAGUACGCACAGGUUAAUAACCUCGUGUGGAGUGACGGUACC
rnacentral:rRNA from 1 species